rnacentral:lncRNA from 10 species
UGGCCCCACAGUUUGUUGGCUGUGCAGCGUCUCAGGCACUCCCUGAAGGUCGAGUCUUGGCCGAGAUUUCGGCUCACCCCAGUCCAGCUUCUGCUCCUAGCCAGGAAUGGCGUUUCCUAACCACACGUCCACGGAGCAGGGAGGUACAUCUCCACCCACUCCCAUUCCUUCUCCACAGCUUGCCAUGGGGCAGUGCUGGGUUUAGUUCCUCUCCUUAUUUGGAGCUGGGGUGUGGACAGGUGUGCAGGUGGACAGGCAGCAGCCAAGGUAGAACGCAAGUCAGCCACGGGUGGCAUGUCGGGAAGCACCAGAAGGUGCAAAAGUUUGGCAUCCAGGGCCUCCCUGGACCGACUGAAAUUUGGUCUAAAUGUGCUCUUGUACCCACGUGGGAGGGCUCAGUGCCGCCUGGGUCUGGAUUUCCUGGAGAUGGGAUUUCAGGGAGCAGAGGACGACUCUGGAUGAGUGACCUAGCCGAACAAGGCCAGGGUGGACAGAGCUGCUGA